GCCAGUGUGGUAGUGUUCGAAUGCUGGACUACGACUCUGGAGACCAGGGUUCAAAUUCCUGCUCAGCCA